rnacentral:rRNA from 1 species
UGCAAGUCGAGCGGAUGAAGAGAGCUUGCUUUCUGAUUCAGCGGCGGACGGGUGAGUAAUGCCUAGGAAUCUGCCUGAUAGUGGGGGACAACGUUUCGAAAGGAACGCUAAUACCGCAUACGUCCUACGGGAGAAAGCAGGGGACCUUCGGGCCUUGCGCUAUCAGAUGAGCCUAGGUCGGAUUAGCUAGUUGGUGAGGUAACGGCUCACCAAGGCGACGAUCCGUAACUGGUCUGAGAGGAUGAUCAGUCACACUGGAACUGAGACACGGUCCAGACUCCUACGGGAGGCAGCAGUGGGGAAUAUUGGACAAUGGGCGAAAGCCUGAUCCAGCCAUGCCGCGUGUGUGAAGAAGGUCUUCGGAUUGUAAAGCACUUUAAGUUGGGAGGAAGGGCAUUAACCUAAUACGUUAGUGUUUUGACGUUACCGACAGAAUAAGCACCGGCUAACUUCGUGCCAGCAGCCGCGGUAAUACGAAGGGUGCAAGCGUUAAUCGGAAUUACUGGGCGUAAAGCGCGCGUAGGUGGUUUGUUAAGUUGAAUGUGAAAGCCCCGGGCUCAACCUGGGAACUGCAUCCAAAACUGGCAAGCUAGAGUAUGGCAGAGGGUGGUGGAAUUUCCUGUGUAGCGGUGAAAUGCGUAGAUAUAGGAAGGAACACCAGUGGCGAAGGCGACCACCUGGGCUAAUACUGACACUGAGGUGCGAAAGCGUGGGGAGCAAACAGGAUUAGAUACCCUGGUAGUCCACGCCGUAAACGAUGUCGACUAGCCGUUGGGAUCCUUGAGAUCUUAGUGGCGCAGCUAACGCAUUAAGUCGACCGCCUGGGGAGUACGGCCGCAAGGUUAAAACUCAAAUGAUUGACGGGGGCCCGCACAAGCGGUGGAGCAUGUGGGUUUAAUUCGAAGCAACGCGAAGAACCUUACAGGCCUUGACAUGCAGA